rnacentral:lncRNA from 1 species
UAGUUGUACAAUAUUGUACACAAAUUAUAUAGCUUAUAAUUUACUAAUACAUUUAUUUAGUAGAAUCGACAAUAUUUUCCUCAUCUCACCUAUCUCGUGAUAUUUGUGUAUGUAAUCUCCAUGGUGUUACUUAUUCUAAAUAACCAACUGCACAUAACUUAAGGACGUUUAAUAAUACAUUUUGGUAUAAAAAUUGUCCACUGAUCAAUGGAAAACCUUGUUAAGAAAUGAGCGUGGUUUGUACAUGGCCUCCAAUGGCACCAGCCAAAGUCAAGCCAAUCUCACGUUGAGCCAAUCCUGCUCCGGGGCAUGCCCUUCUUCCCAUUCCAAAUGGCAUAAAUUUGUGUGCCUCGUCCUUGCUGCCAGUUUCAAACCUCUCAGAUUUGAAGCUU